rnacentral:piRNA from 1 species
UUCCUUCCACCCAAUUGAGCUGUCACUC